rnacentral:rRNA from 1 species
GAUGAACGCUGACAGAAUGCUUAACGCAUGCAAGUCUUUGGCGAAGCUGUGCUUGCACAGCCUAGCCAAGGCGGACGGGUGAGUAACGCGUAAGGAACUUGCCCUGCAGUCAGGGAUAACAGACGGAAACGACUGAUAAGACCUGGUAAAGUCAGGCGGACUCAUGUCCAGCCUGAUGAAAAGAGAUGCUGCAGGAGAGCCUUGCGUCCUAUUAGCUUGUUGGUGGGGUAACGGCCCACCAAGGCGAUGAUAGGUAGCCGGCCUGAGAGGGUGGACGGCCACAAGGGGACUGAGAUACGGCCCUUACUCCUACGGGAGGCAGCAGUGGGGAAUAUUGGACGAUGGGGGCAACCCUGAUCCAGCAAUUCUGUGUGCACGAUGAAGGUUUUCGGAUUGUAAAGUGCUUUCAGCAGGGAAGAAAAAAAUGACGGUACCUGCAGAAGAAGCGACGGCUAAAUACGUG